AUGUACACUGUAAAUGCAAACAUGGUACUUACUUAAAAAUAGUAAAUUGACCUUAAUCAGUUUUUAUCAACCUGCUUUUAACACUUGCUUUUAGUGAGUUACUUGUACUUUGAGGUUGAAAAAUCUUACCAGCUCAGUCUACGUGAGCUGGAUUAAUAUAGAAAAAGUAAGUUUAUGACAUGUGGACAUGCGCAGAUCAGUCCUCUCUGACAUGCCUAAACCCAACCAAUCAAGGUGCUUCGUGGGGCGGGUCUUGGAUUUGCGGGAAUCGUAAUUUUGCAGACGGUCGUUAUGUCACCUCACCACAUGCUGCAACUGACCAGGUGGAGCUGGACCUAAACAUCGCUUCUACGGCACUUGUGAUUAUCUUCAGCCGAUAUUAUUUUGCUUGGCACACUCAUUUGGUGAGUAAAUAUUUUACCCGUGUGCACAUCGUUUUGUUUCUGUAAGUCAGCCCCAGUGUUUUGUGCUUGAUAUGCGUGUAGUAAUGUCUGCUUACGCUAGCUAACUAUAUAUUAUAGACAUAACGUGGCUAUAUUUUGCUGAAACUUGGUAAAUACUUUAUUAUUUUUUCAAUCCACAACUUCCUCGGUGUUGAAAAUUGGUAACUUAAGACUUUUGACACGUUAAAAUUCAGGAAUAACUUCAGUGUUAUGCGGCGCCUCAAGAAUCGACAGCGGGAUGACGUCAAAGUAUCGCGAGAGCGAGACGAAAUAAUAUUUGCUUGAAUCAUUCUCGCGGUACUUUGACGUCAUCCGGCUGUCGGUUCUUGCGGCGCCGCAUGAAGUCGAAGAAGCCUAGUAAGGUAACUUUUGUCGAGUAACGUACUGAUUAGCAUGAUGACAGACUGAUCCCGGUGGUUUGCUCAAGCAGAAUGGUAAUCAAUCCUCCUCACGUUCCAUAAUCCCAGCAAUAAAAGAUACUGUGGACAGUCCAUCAUACCCAGGACUACAGUAUCCUAGAUGCCAACCACAUAAUGGAAGAAAUGAAGAAAAAACAACCAAAUGUGGCACUCUCAUUUCACAAAUGAUGGACCAAUCAUUCCCACUAUGCAGACAAGAAAUUCUAAAAAACAAGGGCCUGCUGUACAGAACAUGGUUUAACGAUGGCCAGCACUUUUCACAGAGAGACAGGUGUUUGCUGAGUUUAAUAGAAUCACCAGUAAGAAUCUUGAGGGAGACUUGAGGCUUUGGACCAGUAUUCCCCACGUUUCAUCAAACUUUUCAAAACCAAAAGGGAAACUUAAGGACUGAGUUGGCCAGAAACUCAAGGAGCUGAUGCAGCACAUGAGCUGGCUGACACCAGACGUGACAGUACUUUGCUCAUUUGUCCUCAAAGGCAUGACGACUCCAGUGAAUUCUACAAGACCUGCUCUGAUGCAGCGAGAGACAAGGCUCUAGAACGCAUCACUGUUGGUGUCCUGACGGUUCUCAGUGAAGAUAGUCCUCACGAAGCUUAGUGGUCCUCCAGCCCAUCUCCACUGCCAUCAUUCUGGAGGGAGGUAUUGUUAUGGAUAAUGUUAAGAACUUGCCUCAAGUCUUUUGUUUGGGCUUACAUAUGCAUUGCAUUUGGAUUACCCAAAAUGCAUGGCAAAUACACUCAACUUCAUUCAGACUGUGAUGCUUGGACUGGGAAAGAAAAACCUCCCACCAAAACGGUUGACUCUGAAGAACAGUCUUCUGGGUUAGAACAAUAAAGAGCUGUCAGAUAGCACUUUGUAAGCUUUGCAGCUAUUAAUGUUAUCCUGUUAUUAGAAACAGUUUGAUGCUGUCAUGCAACUGUAUUUGCUUCUGAUCUUAAUAAAAAAAGAAAUUAUAUUAAAGUCUGUAAUGUUAUGCAGGUAUGCUAAUGUUGGAAACAGAGCCACCGUGUUUUAUUAAGAGUUGUUUAUUAAAUGUUAGUAUUAGAUAAUAAUGUCAGAAAAUAACCUACCACGGUUGUCCUGUUAACAUUUGUGUUUUAGGAAAGCUUUUUAUAGUUGUAAUGUAGUACAAAUACAAACCCCAAGGAGUGAUGUUUUUGUUUGUGUUGCUUUAAUCCUUUCACUGCUCACUUUGGGACACAAAAGCAUUUGUUGUACUUUCAGUUUAAAAUGCAAUUUUUAACUGAAUACGUUUUUUUAAUGUAAAAAAAGUUACAUUUUAACUGUCAACAUUUAAAUAAACCACAACUUUGUUUAGCUGCUGUUAUGUAUGUGAAUGUGCAUUGAAUAAAUGAUGUAAUGUACCUGAAUCAAGUGAGUGUUCUUUUAAAUUACAUGUUUGUGAUGUGUUUAUUAGAUCGUAA